rnacentral:miRNA from 1 species
AUGGUGGUGGUCGAGUCCG